rnacentral:rRNA from 1 species
CGGACGGGUGAGUAACGCGUGAGUAACCUGCCUUACACAAGGGGAUAGCCGUUGGAAACGACGAAUAAUACCCUAUGAAACUAUCACUUCGCAUGAAGCGAUAGUCAAAGUGUUAGCGGUGUAAGAUGGACUUGCGUCUGAUUAGCUAGUUGGUGAUAAAAAAGCCCACCAAGGCAACGAUCAGUAGCCGGCUUGAGAGAGUGUACGGCCACAUUGGGACUGAGACACGGCCCAG